rnacentral:rRNA from 1 species
UACGUAGGGGGCAAGCGUUGUCCGGAUUUAUUGGGCGUAAAGAGCGUGUAGGCGGCCUGGGAGGUCCGUUGUGAAAACUCGAGGCUCAACCUCGAGACGCCGAUGGAAACCCCCUGGCUAGAGUCCGGAAGAGGAGAGUGGAAUUCCUGGUGUAGCGGUGAAAUGCGCAGAUAUCAGGAAGAACACCCGUGGCUAAGGCGGCUCUCUAGUACGGUACUGACGCUGAGACGCGAAAGCGUGGGGAGCAAACAGG